rnacentral:piRNA from 1 species
UGAACAAAUUGUGAACUUUUU